UGCAACAAAAUUUCUAACAUCAUCAAAUCUACUGUUAAUUCAACAAACUAACUCAUUGUCUGAAUUUUUAUGAGACUACAAUAGAAUCUCAUCGAAUAUUUAUAAAAUUAAUAGAGUUCAAAAAUGACUUAUCAGUACAAUAUUUUUUCUAGCAGUAGGAAAAAUGAAUAAUUCACCUUCCAAACAUCAUGCUCAAAUAACAUGUGUGAAAGCUCUAACUGUCCAAUAUAUGCAGAAGCAUCAAUCUUACAAGUAAAUCAAACCAACUUGCC
rnacentral:lncRNA from 1 species